ACGCGCAGAACCUUACCAAGGCUUGACAUGCACUGGACGGCUGCAGAGAUGUGGCUUUCUUUGGACUGGUGCACAGGUGGUGCAUGGUUGUCGUCAGCUCGUGUCGUGAGAUGUUGGGUUAAGUCCCCGCAACGAGCGCAACCCUCGUUCUAUGUUGCCAGCACGUGAUGGUGGGGACUCAUAGGAGACUGCCGGGGUCAACUCGGAGGAAGGUGGGGACGACGUCAAAUCAUCAUGCCCCUUAUGUCUU
rnacentral:rRNA from 1 species